rnacentral:rRNA from 1 species
GAUGAACGCUAGCUACAGGCUUAACACAUGCAAGUCGAGGGGCAGCAUGGUCUUAGCUUGCUAAGGCCGAUGGCGACCGGCGCACGGGUGAGUAACACGUAUCCAACCUGCCGUCUACUCUUGGACAGCCUUCUGAAAGGAAGAUUAAUACAAGAUGGCAUCAUGAGUCCGCAUGUUCACAUGAUUAAAGGUAUUCCGGUAGACGAUGGGGAUGCGUUCCAUUAGAUAGUAGGCGGGGUAACGGCCCACCUAGUCUUCGAUGGAUAGGGGUUCUGAGAGGAAGGUCCCCCACAUUGGAACUGAGACACGGUCCAAACUCCUACGGGAGGCAGCAGUGAGGAAUAUUGGUCAAUGGGCGAGAGCCUGAACCAGCCAAGUAGCGUGAAGGAUGACUGCCCUAUGGGUUGUAAACUUCUUUUAUAAAGGAAUAAAGUCGGGUAUGGAUACCCGUUUGCAUGUACUUUAUGAAUAAGGAUCGGCUAACUCCGUGCCAGCAGCCGCGGUAAUACGGAGGAUCCGAGCGUUAUCCGGAUUUAUUGGGUUUAAAGGGAGCGUAGAUGGAUGUUUAAGUCAGUUGUGAAAGUUUGCGGCUCAACCGUAAAAUUGCAGUUGAUACUGGAUAUCUUGAGUGCAGUUGAGGCAGGCGGAAUUCGUGGUGUAGCGGUGAAAUGCUUAGAUAUCACGAAGAACUCCGAUUGCGAAGGCAGCCUGCUAAGCUGCAACUGACAUUGAGGCUCGAAAGUGUGGGUAUCAAACAGGAUUAGAUACCCUGGUAGUCCACACGGUAAACGAUGAAUACUCGCUGUUUGCGAUAUACUGCAAGCGGCCAAGCGAAAGCGUUAAGUAUUCCACCUGGGGAGUACGCCGGCAACGGUGAAACUCAAAGGAAUUGACGGGGGCCCGCACAAGCGGAGGAACAUGUGGUUUAAUUCGAUGAUACGCGAGGAACCUUACCCGGGCUUAAAUUGCAGAUGAAUUACGGUGAAAGCCGUAAGCCGCAAGGCAUCUGUGAAGGUGCUGCAUGGUUGUCGUCAGCUCGUGCCGUGAGGUGUCGGCUUAAGUGCCAUAACGAGCGCAACCCUUGUUGUCAGUUACUAACAGGUUCCGCUGAGGACUCUGACAAGACUGCCAUCGUAAGAUGUGAGGAAGGUGGGGAUGACGUCAAAUCAGCACGGCCCUUACGUCCGGGGCUACACACGUGUUACAAUGGGGGGUACAGAGGGCCGCUACCACGCGAGUGGAUGCCAAUCCCCAAAACCUCUCUCAGUUCGGACUGGAGUCUGCAACCCGACUCCACGAAGCUGGAUUCGCUAGUAAUCGCGCAUCAGCCACGGCGCGGUGAAUACGUUCCCGGGCCU